UAGAGUAGUAAAAGAUAUUUUAUUUCUAGUCGCAUGAAGCAUUGUUCAUGCUUAGAGGGAAGAGUUUGAAGUCUUUUAUGAUUUGUAGGGCCUGAAUCCUUUGAUGUUUCUCUUUGCUUUAAUUGGGAAUGCCACUUAUGUUGCAAGGUAAGCUUCUGAUUCAUAAUUCAUACUACCUUCUUUGUUUUAAGUAUUGGCACCAAACUAACUUUUGCGAAUUGAAAAUACAGCAAAGGUGUGUAUUUAUUCUUUUGUAUUUAAUGAGCAUAUACUUUAUCUUUUUAUGCGGCAUACUUGUGAGCAGCUUUAAUUGGUCAACAAUCAGACCUAAUCUACCAUGGCUGGUAGAUGCAGGAGGAUGCGUCCUUCUUGACUUUUUUUAUUUUGAUGCAGAUUUUAUAUUUCCGCUGCCGAACCUCCCCGGACCUGUAAAUAAAUAUAAAACAUACUGCUUAUUGAGGAGGAAACAAGGAUAUUCAGGUUCUGUACUCUCUCCUGUAUGUAUGUAGAUGUGCUUCUCUGGCAUGUUAUGAUGUGUUUAUCAGUGUAUUCAUACCAUGUAUUAGCGUAGAGGCUGCUAAGACUAAUUGCUCAUGAAACAGAAUAUACACAUAUUACUGUGAAUUUCUCCAUAUGGUGAAAUCAUAUUCUGAUUAAUUAUGUUUUCUUCCAUGGUUAAUUUUCAUUUCAGUUGAUCAUAUUUAUUGGUGAUUUUCUCCAAUUUCAACCAGAUCUGGAUUAUUUCAUAAAGCUGACUUACAUGAUGUAUGUUCAUAGAAAUCUUUCAAUCUCUCCACCAAGUUGGCUUGAAGCUAAAUUGGUGAAUGGUGACACAUACUUAACUGUAAGAUCAUUGGCCAGAUGGCUAGAAAAACAAGAGCAAGUGGUUAUAUGUUCAUUUGAAUCCACAAUUUUGUUUGAGGUUGAUGCUCCCAUUGCAACACAAAUACCAUCGCUACCUGCUCAAAUCCAAUUUAAAACAAGUGAUAUCAAGUUUACAUAGUCCCUCUCCUUACUCCAUCAUAGCUCCUUUAUGAUUCUAAGUUCAUUACAUCAAUAUAAUCCAAAUAAAGUCAUCUACUGAACAAAUGGAAGUUAAUAAAAAGAAGAUGGAAGAAGAGCCAUAGACGAUGAAUGGAAUUGUUGGAUAUUUAUUGUUGUUGGUGGUGAAUAUGUGGCAGUUCUUGAAUAAAGAAGGUGUUGAUGAAGAUUGUAUUUGAAAAAUUCAAAGUGUGUGAAUUUCACACUAAUCUUUAGGAGCAAUACACCCUUACCAAUUAUAGUAUAUUGAAUGCAAUUGAGAUUAACGACGAAUUCCCUUCAGAAUACUUUGAAUUUCUUAAUGUGAGUUGCACAAACACACUAAACGUAUCUUUUGAUAAUAUGUUACAGAAUAUGUUUCAUACACUUUACUCAUGCAUUAAUAAAG